rnacentral:rRNA from 1 species
AGGUAAGCUACUAAGAGCGAAUGGUGGAUGCCUUGACUGGUAAAGGCGAUGAAGGACGUACUAGACUGCGAUAAGCUACGGGGAGCUGUCAAGAAGCUUUGAUCCGUAGAUUUCCGAAUGGGGCAACCCAAUGUAUAGAGAUAUACAUUACCUAUAUAGGAGCGAACGAGGGGAAUUGAAACAUCUUAGUACCCUCAGGAAAAGAAAUCAAUAGAGAUUGCGUCAGUAGCGGCGAGCGAAAGCGCAAGAGGGCAAACCCAGUGCUUGCACUGGGGGUUGUAGGACUGCAAUGUGCAAGAGGUAAGUUUAGCAGAACAUUCUGGAAAGUAUAACCAUAGAGGGUGAUAGUCCCGUAUGCGAAAAACAAACCUUAGCUAGCAGUAUCCUGAGUAGGGCGGGACACGAGGAAUCCUGUCUGAAUCCGGGUCGACCACGAUCCAACCCUAAAUACUAAUACCAGAUCGAUAGUGCACAAGUACCGUGAGGGAAAGGUGAAAAGAACUGAGGUGAUCAGAGUGAAAUAGAACCUGAAACCAUUUGCUUACAAUCAUUCAGAGCCCUAUGUAGCAAUACAGGGUGAUGGACUGCCUUUUGCAUAAUGAGCCUGCGAGUUGUGGUGUCUGGCAAGGUUAAGCAAACGCGAAGCCGUAGCGAAAGCGAGUCUGAAUAGGGCGCUUAGUCAGAUGCUGCAGACCCGAAACGAAGUGAUCUAUCCAUGAGCAAGUUGAAGCUAGUGUAAGAACUAGUGGAGGACUGAACCCAUAGGCGUUGAAAAGCCCCGGGAUGACUUGUGGAUAGGGGUGAAAGGCCAAUCAAACUUCGUGAUAGCUGGUUCUCUCCGAAAUAUAUUUAGGUAUAGCGUUGUGUCGUAAUAUAAGGGGGUAGAGCACUGAAUGGGCUAGGGCAUACACCAAUGUACCAAACCCUAUCAAACUCCGAAUACCUUAUAUGUAAUCACAGCAGUCAGGCGGCGAGUGAUAAAAUCCGUCGUCAAGAGGGAAACAACCCAGACUACCAGCUAAGGUCCCUAAAUCUUACUUAAGUGGAAAACGAUGUGAAGUUACUUAAACAACCAGGAGGUUGGCUUAGAAGCAGCCAUCCUUUAAAGAAAGCGUAAUAGCUCACUGGUCUAGUGAUUUUGCGCGGAAAAUAUAACGGGGCUAAAGUAAGUACCGAAGCUGUAGACUUAGUUUACUAAGUGGUAGGAGAGCGUUCUAUUUGCGUCGAAGGUAUACCGGUAAGGAGUGCUGGAGCGAAUAGAAGUGAGCAUGCAGGCAUGAGUAGCGAUAAUUAAUGUGAGAAUCAUUAACGCCGUAAACCCAAGGUUUCCUACGCGAUGCUCGUCAUCGUAGGGUUAGUCGGGUCCUAAGUCGAGUCCGAAAGGGGUAGACGAUGGCAAAUUGGUUAAUAUUCCAAUACCAACAUUAGUGUGCGAUGGAAGGACGCUUAGGGCUAAGGGGGCUAGCGGAUGGAAGUGCUAGUCUAAGGUCGUAGGAGGUUAUACAGGCAAAUCCGUAUAACAAUACUCCGAGAACUGAAAGGCUUUUUGAAGUCUUCGGAUGGAUAGAAGAACCCCUGAUGCCGUCGAGCCAAGAAAAGUUUCUAAG